rnacentral:rRNA from 1 species
UAUGUGAUCGUCUCUCGCAUAUCAAUAAGCGGAGGAAAAGAAACUAACAAGGAUUCCCCUAGUAACGGCGAGUGAAGCGGGAAGAGCUCAAAUUUGAAAUCUUAAAGGGUUUCCCUUUACGAAUUGUAGUUUAAAGAAGUGUUUUCUGUUGAGGUUUUGGUAAAAGUUCUUUGGAAUAGGACAUCAUAGAGGGUGAGAAUCCCGUAUUUGACCUUUACUUUCAACUUUGUGAUACACUUUCAAAGAGUCGGAUUGUUUGGGAAUGCAGUCCAAAAUGGGUGGUAAAUUUCAUCUAAAGCUAAAUAUUGGCGAGAGACCGAUAGCGAACAAGUACCGUGAGGGAAAGAUGAAAAGAACUUUGAAAAGAGAGUUAAACAGUACGUGAAAUUGUCAAAAGGGAAGCGUUUGACACCAGUGUUGUUUUUCUGAAAAUCAAUUAAAGAACUGUUUAUGCUAAGCUGUUUAGACUUUAUCAGCUAUCUGUUUAGUUUUGAGCUUUUCUUUAAUGCACUUUUCAGUUAACAAGUCAACAUCAAUUUCUUUUGCUGUAAAAAAGCUUGAGGAAGGUGGCUUGAGAUCCGUCUUAAGUGUUUAUAGCCUCUUGCCUAUGCAGUCGGAGAGAUUGAGGUCUGCAGCGUAGAUCCUUCGGGGCUAAAUGCAUUUGUGCUAAGUUAUAGCAUUUUAUAGACAACUUGUUGACUAUGAUUUGUCUUGUAGCUUACUCGCUUAUGUUAUUUUACCUACGCUUAGGAUGUUGACACACGCGCGUGCUCG